rnacentral:rRNA from 1 species
UACGUAGGUGGCAAGCGUUGUCCGGAUUUACUGGGCGUAAAGGGUGCGUAGGCGGUCAUUUAAGUCAGAUGUGAAAUACCCGAGCUUAACUUGGGUGCUGCAUUUGAAACUGGGUGUCUAGAGUGCAGGAGAGGUAAGUGGAAUUCCUAGUGUAGCGGUGAAAUGCGUAGAGAUUAGGAAGAACACCAGUGGCGAAGGCGACUUACUGGACUGUAACUGACGCUGAGGCAUGAAAGCGUGGGGAGCAAACAGG